rnacentral:rRNA from 1 species
AGAUGCCUACGGGGGGCAGCAGUGGGGAAUAUUGCACAAUGGGGGAAACCCUGAUGCAGCGACGCCGCGUGGGCGAGGAAGUACCUCGGUAUGUAAAGCCCUAUCAGCAGGGAAGAAACAGGACAGUACCAGACUAAGAAGCCACGGCUAACUACGUGCCAGCAGCCGCGGUAAUACGUAGGGGGCAAGCGUUAUCCGGAUUCACUGGGCGUGAAGGGAGCGCAGGCGGCAUGGCAAGUCUGAUGUGAAAACCCGGGGCCCAACCCCGGGAGUGCAUUGGAAACCGCAUGGCUGGA